rnacentral:lncRNA from 1 species
UCUGGGGGUCUGACUGGGCUCCCCUGUGUUGCCCAUUCCCCCCUGUAGGGCCUGGCCCAGCUCUGCUGCAGUGGGGUGUGGGGAGGGUGUAAAGCUUCCAGGCUGCAAGUUUUGGUGUCAUUGCAACAGGGAAGAUCUUGGAGAAGAGGAUGGGGCAGAGCCUGAGCAAAGGGCUGCUCAGCUCUCCCAUCCUGCCUGGCUCCAGUCAAGGUAAGGUGCCUUUUGCUGCCCUGCUAGCUGCUGUGUCUGCAACUAGUUAUUCCUGGCCUCACUAUGGGAGCCAUUAGCUAGGGAAUGGCUCAGGGGCCUCUGUAAGAACUAAUUCAAUUUACCCAGAGUGUGGCCAUACCUGUACCAGUUUCCCAUGAUGUAUUUGUUGGGUUAGGGGUAGACAUUAAGAAGAUAAUGCAAGCUUUAUUGAACAAUAUUGUUGGCUUGAAUGCAGCCGGGGGCCACACCUUCAGGUACUUCACUGGAGGUGUCUUCCUAAUUGCUCUCUAGAAAAAGGGUGAUUUUGUUCGUCAGCUCUGCCCUAUG